GACGAACGCUGGCGGCGUGCUUAACACAUGCAAGUCGAACGGGAAGGCCCUGCUUUUGUGGGGUGCUCGAGUGGCGAACGGGUGAGUAACACGUGAGUAUCCUGCCCUUGACUUUGGGAUAACUUCAGGAAACUGGGGCUAAUACCGGAUAGGAGCUCCUGCUGCAUGGUGGGGGUUGGAAAGUUUCGGCGGUUGGGGAUGGACUCGCGGCUUAUCAGCUUGUUGGUGGGGUAGUGGCUUACCAAGGCUUUGACGGGUAGCCGGCCUGAGAGGGUGACCGGCCACAUUGGGACUGAGAUACGGCCCAGACUCCUACGGGAGGCAGCAGUGGGGAAUAUUGCACAAUGGGCGGAAGCCUGAUGCAGCAACGCCGCGUGCGGGAUGACGGCCUUCGGGUUGUAAACCGCUUUCGCCUGUGACGAAGCGUGAGUGACGGUAAUGGGUAAAGAAGCACCGGCUAACUACGUG
rnacentral:rRNA from 1 species